UACGUAGGGGGCAAGCGUUGUCCGGAAUCAUUGGGCGUAAAGCGCGUGUAGGCGGUCCGGUAAGUCGGCUGUGAAAGUCAAGGGCUCAACCCUUGAAAGCCGGUUGAUACUGUCGGGCUAGAGUCCGGAAGAGGCGAGUGGAAUUCCCGGUGUAGCGGUGAAAUGCGCAGAUAUCGGGAGGAACACCAAUGGCGAAGGCAGCUCGCUGGGACGGUACUGACGCUGAGACGCGAAAGCGUGGGGAGCAAACAGG
rnacentral:rRNA from 1 species